AAAUAAGAAGCAUAAUUAUGCAUUUAAUUUCGACUUAAAAGAUGAAAGUACCCUUCCUUAUUUA
rnacentral:tRNA from 1 species